rnacentral:snRNA from 1 species
UAGUGUUACAGCUCUUUUAGAAUUUGUCUAGCAGGUUUUCCGGUCCUN